rnacentral:pre_miRNA from 1 species
CAAAUACUCCCUCCGUCCCAAAAUAAGUGACUCAACUUUGUACUAAAGUUAGUACAAAACUGAGUCAUUUUUGAGUCACUUAAUUUGGGACGGAGGGAGUAUUUC